rnacentral:rRNA from 1 species
GAUGAACGCUGGCGGCGUGCCUAAUACAUGCAAGUCGAGCGAACGGACGAGAAGCUUGCUUCUCUGCUGUUAGCGGCGGACGGGUGAGUAACACGUGGAUAACCUACCUAUAAGACUGGGAUAACUUCGGGAAACCGUAGCUAAUACCGGAUAAUAUUUUGAACCGCAUGGUUCAAAAGUGAAAGACGGUCUUGCUGUCACUUAUAGAUGGAUCCGCGCUGCAUUAGCUAGUUGGUAAGGUAACGGCUUACCAAGGCAACGAUGCAUAGCCGACCUGAGAGGGUGAUCGGCCACACUGGAACUGAGACACGGUCCAGACUCCUACGGGAGGCAGCAGUGGGGAAUCUUCCGCAAUGGGCGAAAGCCUGACGGAGCAACGCCGCGUGAGUGAUGAAGGUCUUCGGAUCGUAAAACUCUUUUAUUAGGGAAGAACAUAUGUGUAAGUAACUGUGCACAUCUUGACGGUACCUAAUCAGAAAGCCACGGCUAACUACGUG